ACGCUGGCGGCGUGCCUAAUACAUGCAAGUCGAGCGGACAGAAGGGAGCUUGCUCCCGGAUGUUAGCGGCGGACGGGUGAGUAACACGUGGGUAACCUGCCUGUAAGACUGGGAUAACUCCGGGAAACCGGAGCUAAUACCGGAUAGUUCCUUGAACCGCAUGGUUCAAGGAUGAAAGACGGUUUCGGCUGUCACUUACAGAUGGACCCGCGGCGCAUUAGCUAGUUGGUGGGGUAAUGGCUCACCAAGGCGACGAUGCGUAGCCGACCUGAGAGGGUGAUCGGCCACACUGGGACUGAGACACGGCCCAGACUCCUACGGGAGGCAGCAGUAGGGAAUCUUCCGCAAUGGACGAAAGUCUGACGGAGCAACGCCGCGUGAGUGAUGAAGGUUUUCGGAUCGUAAAGCUCUGUUGUUAGGGAAGAACAAGUGCGAGAGUAACUGCUCGCACCUUGACGGUACCUAACCAGAAAGCCACGG
rnacentral:rRNA from 1 species